AUACUUACCUGGCAGGGGAGGUACCAUGAUCAUGAAGGUGGUUUUCCCAGGUUGAGGCUCACCCAUUGCACUCCGGGUGUGCUGACCCCUGCGAUUUCCCCAAAUGCGGGGAAACUCGACUGCAUAAUUUGUGGCAGUGGGGGACUGCGUUCGCGCUUUCCCCUG